rnacentral:misc_RNA from 1 species
AAGUCGUAACAAGGUUUCCGUAGGUGAACCUGCGGAAGGAUCAUUAAUGAAACUUCAAGUCGGCUAUUCUGUGCUGGUGGCAACACAUGUGCACGUUCAGUCGCAAUCCACACACCUGUGCACUUUGACUCUGAGCACCGCCGGUAACACGGCAGAAGGUUUGAGAUGAAGGUCUUAACCUGGUACUCGAGUAGUUUACACACUCUGUAUGUAAUAGAAUGUAACUGUACAAUGUACAACUAUAAACAACUUUCAACAACGGAUCUCUUGGCUCUC